ACGCUGGCGGCACGCCUUAUACAUGCAAGUCGAACGAAGUAGCAAUACUUAGUGGCAGACGGGUGAGUAACAUGUGGGUAUCUUCCCUUUGGUGAGGAAUAACACGAGGAAACUUGUGCUAAUACCUCAUAAGUCUUUACGGAGAAAGCUUUAUGCGCCAAUGGAUGAGCCCGCACUUGAUUAGUUUGUUGGUGGGGUAAUGGCCUACCAAGGCUUUGAUCAAUAGCUGAUUUGAGAGGAUGAUCAGCCACAUUGGGACUGAGACACGGCCCAAACUCCUACGGGAGGCAGCAGUAAGGAAUCUUGCACAAUGGAGGAAACUCUGAUGCAGCGAUGCCGCGUGAGUGAAGAAGGCCUUUGGGUUGUAAAGCUCUUUCGUCGGGGAAGAAAAUGACUGUACCCGAAUAAGAAGGUCCGGCUAACUUCGUGCCAGCAGCCGCGGUAAUACGAAGGGACCUAGCGUAGUUCGGAAUUACUGGGCUUAAAGAGUUCGUAGGUGGUUAAAAAAGUUGGUGGUGAAAUCCCAGAGCUUAACUCUGGAACUGCCAUCAAAACUUUUUAGCUAGAGUAUGAUAGAGGAAAGCAGAAUUUCUAGUGUAGAGGUGAAAUUCGUAGAUAUUAGAAAGAAUACCAAUUGCGAAGGCAGCUUUCUGGAUCAUUACUGACACUGAGGAACGAAAGCAUGGGUAGCGAAGAGGAUUAGAUACCCUCGUAGUCCAUGCCGUAAACGAUGUGUGUUAGACGUUGGAAAUUUAUUUUCAGUGUCGCAGCGAAAGCGAUAAACACACCGCCUGGGG
rnacentral:rRNA from 1 species